ACCCGACACCACAUAGAUAACACGGACAUACACAAACAAGAUAGCUGCUUCCGCAUCUAGCGCUCAGAGAAUAUCACAGACGUUUGCAGAGCUUUUUGAGAUGUUCUAGUAAUAAAAUAACGACUUGGAUCGCAUUAUUGAGGAGUUUGGUGAUAAAACGAGUGAUCAAGAGAUGAUUUAUCGGGUAAAAGCUGCCCUACCCGAACCGAAGGAACCACAAGCUCCUGCCAGGGGACUGGGUGAUCAUCAAAGACCUCCGGAAGCAUUGGCAUCAACAACGCUGGACAGGUCCGUUCCAGGUGCUCCUGACAACGCAGACAGCGGUGAAAGUCGCUGAACGAUCAACCUGUAUCCACGCCAGCCAUUGCGGAAAAGUGCCCUAUAGCCCGAAGGAAGAUGUAUCGCCCCCUGGAACAACGUAGACGGCUCGGAUGGCCUUGGGGACAGUCAGCUUUGGACCCCCAGAGUCCUGACUUAUUUUUCUUGGCAGCAUAUUAACUGUGUUUCUCAUCUGGCUCUUAACUGAACUAAAAGAUAAUAAAAAAGAGCCAGAUACUACAAACCACAGCUACGCUGAAAAUCGCACAGAACUCAGAACAAAAACAACAUUGCACACAUGGAGUGUAGAACAUGAUUGAAAACAUGCGGACAAUGGUUGGUGGGAAAUGCUCAACCAUACUGUACAGAACACUUUGAACAUUACUGACACUGGUUUAUAUAUGAUGUAGUGAUAUUGUUGUUGUUUUUGCUUAUCAUAACUUGUGUGAAAAAGUUAUGUACUAAAACUGUUGACACUGUUUUAAACAUGCCCCUGCUUACUAAUGAUGACCAGGGUAAUGAUUCAAAUGAUGACCCUUUCAACAAAAUGGCAGAUGACCUGAUGAGUUAAGAUAGUGGGGAAAAUCUGCAAGCGGGAUACGUUUGGUCGUCACUUUGUUCAUAUUACACUACAUGUUAAACUUUGUAAAUCUCGCUUUAACUUGUACUAUUGUGUGUGUUUGAAUCCAUUUUCUGAAUAAGGUUGAGACAAAGUCUCAAAAGGGAGGGAAUGUUAUAGAAAUGUUACAGAAAAUGGAACUGACUCGACAUAAUGUACUGGCAUUUUGUUCUCCCAUAACCUUGCAUGCCUUGCUAAAGAUAAGGAACCGCAAGAUGCCUACACUGCAGCUGCGGCUGUGAGAAAAAAGGAUGAGCCAGACGUGUCUUUUUGCACGUAUACCCAAACCACCCAUCCUUUUUUAUCUGCUUGCUUAGUUUUAUGCCAAGUAUGCAUAGUUAUAAGUUUUCUCUUAUAUGCUAAUACCUGAAUCAUCAUUGGCUAACCCUCUGCCUUGCUGACAAUUUUAAGGUAUAUAAGAAACUGAUCCAACUCUGUAUGUUGGAACACUGCUCGAUGAUUAUCUAGCACCCUGUGUGCUGAGAGUGUUCUCAGUUUGCAAACUUAAGAAAUAAAGGCCUGUGUGUUUGGAA